rnacentral:rRNA from 1 species
AGAGUUUGAUCCUGGCUCAGAACGAACGCUGGCGGCGUGGCUAAAACAUGCAAGUCGAGCGCGAAUUCCCGGGCAACUGGGAUAGUAGAGCGGCGGAAGGGUGAGUAAUGCAUGGGCAACGUACCUCGGGCACGGGGAUAGCCUACCGAAAGGUAGGGUAAUACCUGAUGAGACCACAGUGUCAUAUGGCACAGCGGUCAACGGGCGGGGAUCUUCGGACCUGCCGGCCUGAGAGCGGCCCAUGUCCUAUCAGCUUGUUGGUGAGGUAACGGCUCACCAAGGCGACGACGGGUACCGGGACUGAGAGGUUGGCCCGGCACAUUGGGACUGAGACACUGCCCAGACUCCUACGGGAGGCUGCAGUAACGAAUAUUCCGCAAUGGGCGAAAGCCUGACGGAGCGACGCCGCGUGUGGGAAGAAGCCCUUCGGGGUGUAAACCACUGUCAGGGAUUACCAAGCAAGGGGACCUAAUACGUCCCUGCGUUGAGGAGUCCCGGAGGAAGCCACGGCUAACUUCGUGCCAGCAGCCGCGGUAAUACGAAGGUGGCAAGCGUUGUUCGGAAUCACUGGGCUUNNNGAGCACGUAGGUGGCCCCUCAAGCGCUUUGUGAAAUCCCUCGGCUCAACCGAGGAAUGGCUGGGCGAACU